UACGUAGGGGGCCAGCGUUGCUCGGAAUUACUGGGCGUAAAGGGUUCGUAGGCGGUGCGGCAAGUUGGGAGUGAAAUCUCUGGGCUUAACUCAGGGGCUGCUUUCAAAACUGCCGCGCUCGAGUGCGAGAGAGGUCAGUGGAAUUGCAGGUGUAGCGGUGAAAUGCGUAGAUAUCUGCAGGAACACCCGUGGCGAAGGCGGCUGACUGGAUCGCAACUGACGCUGAGGAACGAAAGCUAGGGGAGCGAACGGG
rnacentral:rRNA from 1 species